rnacentral:lncRNA from 1 species
GGAAAUGGAGGAUGUUUUGCCACGUAUCGAUUAGUCUUCCAGAUUCCAGGUAUUGUUUAUGAACCGGAACUCCGGGAGUAUGUAUGUACACUUUAUUUCUUUCUUCAUUAUUCAAAUUUGAUUACUCUCCAUGAUUGCUAAAACAAAUACUCCUUAAUUCGCUAUUUGGGUUUAUGAGGAUAUUGUAUUUAGUUUUAGAAUAUAUUCUCUUUACUUACAAAUUUAUCAUAAGAAAUUAUUUCUUUUUCUACAUUUUUUAUAAAAGAAAAUUUUAUCUCAUUCUUCAUUUUCACUAAAAGUAUGAAUAAUUAAUAUUAUCCCUUUAUUUUUUAUGUGGUAAUAUUAUUCCUUCAUUGAAUCAAAAUAAUGAGUGAGAAAUAGUGAAAUUCUCUUUUCUAUAAAAUGAGUGGGAAAGAAAUGAAGGAUUUAAAGAGAGAUUUUUUUUUUGUAUCUAUAUAUCAUUUUCUCAUUAUAAGGUUACAACCAAACAGAAUGUAACUUAACUUUUAGUAUUGCUUCUUGAAUUAAAAUUUCUUGAAUUCUAGCUUAAUUUUGUAAUUAUAGCUUAAUUGACUUAUAUACAUAAAUUUGAGUUGGAACCUACCAAAAAAAUAUUUGAGUUGUAAUUAAGAUAAUGAUGAUUGAUUUGAUUUAUUUUGCUUUAAUUGAAUGAAGAAAUCUAUCGUUUUUGGCUGCAUCCGAAUAAAUGUGCACAUGAUUGAUUUGAAGUUAGUGAUUUUUAAGGAAUUUGAAGAUAUUGAUAGAAUUUAAUAAAUGACUCGCGGUCCUAUUUAUAAUCUCGGAUUAAUAUAUGAAAUGGAAUAUCAAAUACAAUGAAGAUCUUGGACUGCUGGUGCGAUUCUAUGAAAUACAUUCAGUUUAAAGAUGAACUUAAAUUGAUAAAUUGGUCUCUUAUUAUUUAUUAACAGAAAUAAUGACACUAGAAGCAAAUUAGAAGUGACUUAAAUUGUGUGUAUUGCAAUAAGAAUAAAAUGAUUAAUAAGGCAAAAAGUUUCAAGUUUAAGUUAUUUAGAAUUUCUUUCUAUUCAAUAAAAAGAAAAAGAAAAAGAAAAAAGAAAAAGAAGUGACUUGAAUAAAUAGGAUUGUAUUAUUCUUGGCAUGUGAGAUGGAUUUAGACAUGUCCUGCUGCCAAAAGUCCCUUCAAAAUUUUAUGUGACCACUUUCAAUUAUGGAGUUGGUCUUGGGUGAGACAGAUAUCAAUUCAAGAGACAGAACUAACUCGACUCGACCUUCCAUAUCAAUAGAGGAGUAGUCGAGGACGUGGAGCUGAUGGCGUGCCGAUGGAUGACUGGCAGAGUAGCGGCAUAGCUAGGUGCGGCAAAAGGGGCGCGCGGCUGGAAAGAGAGGAGGCAUGGGCGUGGGGUAGGGGUGCGUCGGCUGGAGGGAGAUGUGGCACGAGUUUGGCACUUGGGGCGCACCGACGGAAAGAUAAGGCGGCAAAACUAUGACGAAGGACGCAACAACGGUAUAAAUGAUGGAGGCAGAGAACUUAUAUUUAUUUGGCCAAGUAAUUAUUGUCGUAAGAAAAAAUAAUUAUUGAUAUGAAGAAAUGUAAUAUUUCAAAAUAUGAUAAUUCGAAGUAAUUAUUAUUGUGAUGAAAAGUAAUAACCGAC